GACGAACGCUGGCGGCGUGCUUAACACAUGCAAGUCGAACGGAAAGGCCCUGCUUUUGUGGGGUGCUCGAGUGGCGAACGGGUGAGUAACACGUGAGUAACCUGCCCUUGACUUUGGGAUAACUUCAGGAAACUGGGGCUAAUACCGGAUAGGAGCUCCUGCUGCAUGGUGGGGGUUGGAAAGUUUCGGCGGUUGGGGAUGGACUCGCGGCUUAUCAGCUUGUUGGUGGGGUAGUGGCUUACCAAGGCUUUGACGGGUAGCCGGCCUGAGGGGGUGACCGGCCACAUUUGGGCCUGGGUUCGGCCCCAGCUCCUUCCGGGAGGAAGCGGUGGGAAAUAUUGACAAAGGGGCGGAGCCUUGUGCAACAACGGCCGCGUCGGGAAUGCCGGCCUUCGGGUGUAAACCCCUUUCGGUCAGGGCGAAAGCGUGUGUGACGGUAGUGGGUAAAGAAGCACCGGCUAACUACGUG
rnacentral:rRNA from 1 species